rnacentral:rRNA from 1 species
UUUCCGGUUGAUCCUGCCGCCGGCCACCGCUAUCAAGUUCCGACUAAGCCAUGCGAGUCAAGGUAUCGUAAGAUGCCGGCAAACUGCUCAGUAACACGUGGAUAAUCUAACCUUGAGUAAGGGAUAACCUCGGGAAACUGAGGAUAAUACCUUAUAAUUGCUUAAAACUGGAAUGUUUAAGCAAUAAAAGUUCCGACGCUCAAGGAUGAGUCUGCGACCUAUCAGGUAGUAGGUGGUGUAAUGGACCACCUAGCCUCAGACGGGUACGGGCCCUGGGAGGGGUAGCCCGGAGAUGGACUCUGAGACAUCAGUCCAGGCCCUACGGGGCGCAGCAGGCGCGAACACUGUGCAAUGCGCGAAAGCGCGACACGGGGAGCUUGAGUGUCUUGGCAUAGCCAAGACUUUUCUCAUUCCUAAAAAGCAUGAGGAAUAAGUGCUGGGUAAGACGGGUACCAGCCGCCGCGGUAACACCCGCAGCACAAGUGGUGGUCACUUUUAUUGAGCCUAAAGCGUUCGUAGCCGGUUUUGUAAAUCUUUAGAUAAAGCCUGAAGCUUAACUCCAGAAAGUCUGAAGAGACUGCAAGACUUGAGAUCGGGUGAGGUUAAACGUACUUUCAGGGUAGGGGUAAAAUCCUGUAAUCCCGGAAGGACGACCAGUGGCGAAAGCGUUUAACUAGAACGAAUCUGACGGUAAGGAACGAAGGCUAGGGUAGCAAACCGGAUUAGAUACCCGGGUAGUCCUAGCUGUAAACACUGCCCAUUUGAUGUUGCUUUUCCGUUGAGGGAAGGCAGUGUCGGAGCGAAGGUGUUAGAUGGGCCGCUUGGGAAGUAUGGUCGCAAGACUGAAACUUAAAGGAAUUGGCGGGGGAGCACCGCAACGGGAGGAAUGUGCGGUUUAAUUGGAUUCAACGCCGGA